UCUUCAUUCCCCGUACUCUCUCACCGAUCAGAGCGACGAGAGAGUACGUAAAAUGAGGAGA
rnacentral:pre_miRNA from 1 species